UUGGGUAUGUUUCAAUUGUUGAAAUUCAUCAGAACAGAUUCUUAUUUCUAAGAACUCCAUGAUGGUCUUACCCGCCCUCGUUUGUUGACUUCACCGGUUGUUCACCGGCCAAAAGGAGACAAGGCAAGGUGAUCGAUGAUUUCAUCAUAAAGUCAAGUAGUGAACAAACUAGGAGCCUCAAUGUUGACUCUUAUUGGAGUGAUGAAGAGAG
rnacentral:lncRNA from 1 species